rnacentral:rRNA from 1 species
UUGGUGCCUUCGGGAACUCUGAGACAGGUGCUGCAUGGCUGUCGUCAGCUCGUGUUGUGAAAUGUUGGGUUAAGUCCCGCAACGAGCGCAACCCUUAUCCUUUGUUGCCAGCGGUCCGGCCGGGAACUCAAAGGAGACUGCCAGUGAUAAACUGGAGGAAGGUGGGGAUGACGUCAAGUCAUCAUGGCCCUUACGAGUAGGGCUACACACGUGCUACAAUGGCGCAUACAAAGAGAAGCGACC